UUUUUCAAAAGUCAACAUGUUUAUGUGUGUGUGUGUGUGUGUGUGUGUGUGUGUGUGUGUGUUUUCAGUAAUUUCCAUAGUAAGAGAGAAAAUAUAGAAAUAUUAUGCAAAAAAUAUAGUUUUCUUUAGCUCAGAAACUGACAUUUACGAGUCAGCCAUAUAUGUAUAUAUAUAUAUUGUUUAAAGAAUUUCAAAUAAUGUGCCACCAUGCCACGCCGUGGAGAGGAGCACACCACCAGCUGUUUGGCAUGACAGGUGACUCAGUACGUUUGUAACUGGUUAAAACAACGACAGCAACCAAUAUACCAUACUUCCUUUUUCCAAACGGCCAUCUUUAUAUUUAGGGGAAAAAAAUUGUUGGGUUCUAGACUUUUUUUUAAUAUAAAUUUUGUUGAUAUGGAAUUGAGUGAGUUCAAGUGUUUCUGUGCAUAUGUUUUUAUAUGUUCUUGUCUAUUCAGUUUCAGUAAUCCAGGUGGCAGUGAGUAAAUAUGAUAUAAGUUAAUGACACUUUCCCCUAAAUGGUGCUCCGGAUUUGAAAGAGGUCUGAUGGGAGGAAGAGAAUAUAUCCUAGAGCCCUCUUUUGAUAAACCUGGACAAACGGGUAAAAACCUGCAGGUAGUGAGGGAAACACCCACAAAGAGGCUCCUUAGCUGUCUGUCAGGCCAUGGAUGGAUGCUGCCUUGGAGGAGAGCAGACUUGUUGGUACUCAGGAGCAAGGAUCAGUUGGGUUUCUGUUUCUUGAGGAAUUAGCAAACAGAGUAGUAUCAAUGAUGGCUGGUCUCUCCUAGUCAGCAAGGGUACUCUGACGUGGGGUCCGCAUUUCUUUAUGUUUUCCCCUUUCCCCUCCCCCUGGAGAGAUGCCACUAGUGAGGUUUUGUGUAUGACUCUGAGUUGUAACAUCCUGCUGUUUUUGUCUGAUACAGCAGGUGGGGGCCAGAGCUCCAAACUGGAAAAGAUCAAUGUAACAGCAAUGGUUACUUCUAGCUCUGUCUGACAGUCUCAGGACUAGGUCCUUCUCAACAGUUCUACGAUAUCCUCUGUGGCAGUUUUCCCAUCCCAAAAGUUGUAGGAGAGACCAGCUAGAAGCCUUCUGGGCACUUGUGGGUUCCCCGGGGUUGGAUUUCUUUUUGCCUUCAAGCUUUAGGGGAGAGUUUCAAAGAUCAAUCCGAGGGGUUACCUCACUGCUGAAAGCCCUAGGGAAGUUGAGUGUGCCAGAAUCCUCUCCCAGAUCCUCCUCUUUCUCCCCAUCCCCCUUGCCUUACAAUUGAAGCUACCUGUGGCACCAUCCCAAUCUGCACAUUCAAUCACUUUCUGCAUCUAGGGUCCACCCCAUGGCACUGGUAGGGGUGGGCCCUUGCAAUGCCUGCUGUUCUAAAGCCAUUCCAGCCUCCUCCUCAGAAUAGACCAGAUCCUCUCCCUCCCUUCCAUUUAGCUGAGAGCCAGAACUUUUGCCUUCCCAGGUCUACAGUUCUGCCUGCUGCCCCCUUUCUUCUUGGUUGGGAGAGGUGAUGGGAGGUGAGACCCCUGCAGCUGAAUGGGCCUUUGGCCCAGAGUUUCUCCCCAUAUGUAUAUAUGCCAUAUGUAAAUAAAUAUGCCACAUAUGUGCUGACAAAUCGCUCUACGCCAUCUUUUCUAAUGGGCAUGCAGAUAGGAAUUUUGAGUUCUUCUCAGCAACUGGUAUAAUGAGCACUGGUAUUUUUGUACAAAACUAAAAGGAAAAAAAAAA
rnacentral:lncRNA from 1 species